UACGGGGGGGGCAAGCGUUGUCCGGAAUUACUGGGCGUAAAGGGCUCGUAGGCGGCCAACUAAGUCAGACGUGAAAUCCCCAGGCUCAACCUGGGAACUGCGUCUGAUACUGGAUGGCUUGAAUUCGGGAGAGGGAUGCAGAAUUCCAGGUGUAGCGGUGAAAUGCGUAGAUAUCUGGAGGAAUACCGGUGGCGAAGGCGGCAUCCUGGACCGACAUUGACGCUGAGGAGCGAAAGCUAGGGGAGCGAACGGG
rnacentral:rRNA from 1 species